GACGAACGCUGGCGGCGUGCCUAAUACAUGCAAGUCGAACGCACUCUCGUUUAGAUUGAAGGAGUUUGCUCCUGAUUGAUAAACAUUUGAGUGAGUGGCGGACGGGUGAGUAACACGUGGGUAACCUGCCCUAAAGUGGGGGAUAACAUUUGGAAACAGAUGCUAAUACCGCAUAAAACCUAACACCGCAUGGUGUAGGGUUGAAAGAUGGUUUCGGCUAUCACUUUAGGAUGGACCCGCGGUGCAUUAGUUAGUUGGUGAGGUAAAGGCUCACCAAGACCGUGAUGCAUAGCCGACCUGAGAGGGUAAUCGGCCACACUGGGACUGAGACACGGCCCAGACUCCUACGGGAGGCAGCAGUAGGGAAUCUUCCACAAUGGACGAAAGUCUGAUGGAGCAACGCCGCGUGAGUGAAGAAGGUUUUCGGAUCGUAAAACUCUGUUGUUGGAGAGAAUGUAUCUGAUAGUAACUGAUCAGGUAGUGACGGUAUCCAACCAGAAAGCCACGGCUAACUACGUG
rnacentral:rRNA from 1 species